rnacentral:rRNA from 1 species
AACGAACGCUGGCGGCAUGCCUAACACAUGCAAGUCGAACGAGCCCUUCGGGUCUAGUGGCCCACGGGUGCGUAACGCGUGGGAACCUGCCCUUAGGUUCGGAAUAACUAUCCGAAAGGGGUGCUAAUACCGGAUAAUGUCUUCGGACCAAAGAUUUAUCGCCUUUGGAUGGGCCCGCGCUGGAUUAGCUAGUUGGUAGGGUAAAAGCCUACCAAGGCGACGAUCCAUAGCUGGUCUGAGAGGAUGAUCAGCCACACUGGGACUAAGACACGGCCCAGACUCCUACGGGAGGCAGCAGUGGGGAAUAGUGGACAAUGGGCGAAAGCCUGAUCCAGCAAUGCCGCGUGAGUGAUGAAGGCCUUAGGGUUGUAAAGCUCUUGUACCCGGGAUGAUAAUGACAGUACCGAGAGAAUAAGCUCCGGCUAACUCCGUG